rnacentral:rRNA from 1 species
GGGUUGUGAGGUUAAGCGACUAAGCGUACACGGUGGAUGCCCUGGCAGUCAGAGGCGAUGAAGGGCGUGCUAAUCUGCGAUAAGCGCCGGUAAGGUGAUAUGAACCGUUAUAACCGGCGAUACCCGAAUGGGGAAACCCAGUGUGACUCGUCACACUAUCAUUAACUGAAUCCAUAGGUUAAUGAGGCGAACCGGGGGAACUGAAACAUCUAAGUACCCCGAGGAAAAGAAAUCAACCGAGAUUCCCCCAGUAGCGGCGAGCGAACGGGGAGGAGCCCAGAGCCUGAAUCAGCAUGUGUGUUAGUGGAAGCGUCUGGAAAGGCGCGCGAUACAGGGUGACAGCCCCGUACACAAAAGCGCAUGUGCUGUGAGCUCGAUGAGUAGGGCGGGACACGUGGUAUCCUGUCUGAAUAUGGGGGGACCAUCCUCCAAGGCUAAAUACUCCUGACUGACCGAUAGUGAACCAGUACCGUGAGGGAAAGGCGAAAAGAACCCCGGCGAGGGGAGUGAAAAAGAACCUGAAACCGUGUACGUACAAGCAGUGGGAGCACAGGUUUACCUGUGUGACUGCGUACCUUUUGUAUAAUGGGUCAGCGACUUAUAUUCUGUAGCAAGGUUAACCGAAUAGGGGAGCCGGAGGGAAACCGAGUCUUAACCGGGCGUUAAGUUGCAGGGUAUAGACCCGAAACCCGGUGAUCUAGCCAUGGGCAGGUUGAAGGUUGGGUAACACUAACUGGAGGACCGAACCGACUAAUGUUGAAAAAUUAGCGGAUGACCUGUGGCUGGGGGUGAAAGGCCAAUCAAACCGGGAGAUAGCUGGUUCUCCCCGAAAGCUAUUUAGGUAGCGCCUCGUGAAUUCAUCUCCGGGGGUAGAGCACUGUUUCGGCUAGGGGGCCAUCCCGGCUUACCAACCCGAUGCAAACUGCGAAUACCGGAGAAUGUUAUCACGGGAGACACACGGCGGGUGCUAACGUCCGUCGUGAAGAGGGAAACAACCCAGACCGCCAGCUAAGGUCCCAAAGUCAUGGUUAAGUGGGAAACGAUGUGGGAAGGCCCAGACAGCCAGGAUGUUGGCUUAGAAGCAGCCAUCAUUUAAAGAAAGCGUAAUAGCUCACUGGUCGAGUCGGCCUGCGCGGAAGAUGUAACGGGGCUAAACCAUGCACCGAAGCUGCGGCAGCGACGCUUAUGCGUUGUUGGGUAGGGGAGCGUUCUGUAAGCCUGUGAAGGUGGCCUGUGAGGGUUGCUGGAGGUAUCAGAAGUGCGAAUGCUGACAUAAGUAACGAUAAAGCGGGUGAAAAGCCCGCUCGCCGGAAGACCAAGGGUUCCUGUCCAACGUUAAUCGGGGCAGGGUGAGUCGACCCCUAAGGCGAGGCCGAAAGGCGUAGUCGAUGGGAAACGGGUUAAUAUUCCCGUACUUGGUGUUACUGCGAAGGGGGACGGAGAAGGCUAUGUUGGCCGGGCGACGGUUGUCCCGGUUUAAGCGUGUAGGUGUGUGUUCCAGGUAAAUCCGGUUCACUUUAACACUGAGGCGUGAUGACGAGGCACUACGGUGCUGAAGCAACAAAUGCCCUGCUUCCAGGAAAAGCCUCUAAGCAUCAGGUAACAUCAAAUCGUACCCCAAACCGACACAGGUGGUCAGGUAGAGAAUACCAAGGCGCUUGAGAGAACUCGGGUGAAGGAACUAGGCAAAAUGGUGCCGUAACUUCGGGAGAAGGCACGCUGACACGUAGGUGAAGUGAUUUACUCAUGGAGCUGAAGUCAGUCGAAGAUACCAGCUGGCUGCAACUGUUUAUUAAAAACACAGCACUGUGCAAACACGAAAGUGGACGUAUACGGUGUGACGCCUGCCCGGUGCCGGAAGGUUAAUUGAUGGGGUCAGCGCAAGCGAAGCUCCUGAUCGAAGCCCCGGUAAACGGCGGCCGUAACUAUAACGGUCCUAAGGUAGCGAAAUUCCUUGUCGGGUAAGUUCCGACCUGCACGAAUGGCGUAAUGAUGGCCAGGCUGUCUCCACCCGAGACUCAGUGAAAUUGAACUCGCUGUGAAGAUGCAGUGUACCCGCGGCAAGACGGAAAGACCCCGUGAACCUUUACUAUAGCUUGACACUGAACAUUGAGCCUUGAUGUGUAGGAUAGGUGGGAGGCUUUGAAGCGUGGACGCCAGUCUGCGUGGAGCCGACCUUGAAAUACCACCCUUUAAUGUUUGAUGUUCUAACGUGGACCCGUAAUCCGGGUUGCGGACAGUGUCUGGUGGGUAGUUUGACUGGGGCGGUCUCCUCCUAAAGAGUAACGGAGGAGCACGAAGGUUGGCUAAUCCUGGUCGGACAUCAGGAGGUUAGUGCAAUGGCAUAAGCCAGCUUGACUGCGAGCGUGACGGCGCGAGCAGGUGCGAAAGCAGGUCAUAGUGAUCCGGUGGUUCUGAAUGGAAGGGCCAUCGCUCAACGGAUAAAAGGUACUCCGGGGAUAACAGGCUGAUACCGCCCAAGAGUUCAUAUCGACGGCGGUGUUUGGCACCUCGAUGUCGGCUCAUCACAUCCUGGGGCUGAAGUAGGUCCCAAGGGUAUGGCUGUUCGCCAUUUAAAGUGGUACGCGAGCUGGGUUUAGAACGUCGUGAGACAGUUCGGUCCCUAUCUGCCGUGGGCGCUGGAGAACUGAGGGGGGCUGCUCCUAGUACGAGAGGACCGGAGUGGACGCAUCACUGGUGUUCGGGUUGUCAUGCCAAUGGCACUGCCCGGUAGCUAAAUGCGGAAGAGAUAAGUGCUGAAAGCAUCUAAGCACGAAACUUGCCCCGAGAUGAGUUCUCCCUGAGACUUAGAGUCUCCUGAAGGAACGUUGAAGACGACGACGUUGAUAGGCCGGGUGUGUAAGCGCAGCGAUGCGUUGAGCUAACCGGUACUAAUGAACCGUGAGGCUUAACCUUACAACGCCGAAG